rnacentral:lncRNA from 1 species
CCAAAUUAAUUAAGGGAAUCAAUUAUCUUUAUUUAUAUUUUGCUUUUCAAGUUUCAUAUAAACUUUAAACUGUGAGAUUUCUCAUAUUGAAGAAAAUUAAAAUAAAAUUGAAUACCUUUUAUAAGCUAAUGGUUAUUGUAAAAGUGUUUUUCUACAGAAAUUUGAGAGCCGUCUAUCUUAAAAAAAUAUGUUAAUUCUUUAACGAUAAUUAAGUUAAACAUUUAGAUGACGACCAUUAUAAACAUUAAAGUUUAAUAUAUAUUAACAUUUUUCAUUUUAUUUUUUGUCAAGAGAGGGAUUCAUAUGUAGAAAUUGUCUAAAAGCAAAAAUUACUGCAUGAUUUCAAAGAAAUAGGUGUAGAGAUAUCUAACUCAAUAAAUUAGUAUAGUUUCAACUUAUUUAUACAUAGAUCAGUACAAAAUCAUAAGUGUGUCAUCUUAUAAUAAUUUAUCUCCUUAUAAUGGGUGAAAUUUAGUAUCUUGUAAAAGAGAUAAUUUUGUUAAAAAAUAUUUUGUAUGUAUAGAAGGUAUGAAUGAUAAGCAUAGAUGUUUAGUGUGCAUGGAACCCUAUGAAGAGCAAAAUAAGAAGAGUAAAGAAAAUGAAUUACCAAGGCAUAAGCACCAGCAGCUACAGCACCAAGCUCACCAAAUUUCUCACGAUGCUCGUGUUGCUUCUCCUCCUUCUUGUAGUCAACCUCAUCAUCACGUUGGACACCACCACCAUACCCACCACCGCUUGUCUUCUCAUAGUCAUCACCAGUUGAUCCACCAUACCCACCACCGGUGGUAUUGUCAGAGUAACCACCACCACCAGUUGAUCCACCAUAGCCACCACCAGCUGAUCCACCAUAGCCACCACCAGUUGUAGUGUCUGGGUAACUGUCACCACCACCAGCUGAUCCACCAUAGCCACCACCAGUGGUAGUGUCUGGGUAACCACCAGCGCCAGUUGAUCCACCAUAGCCACCACCUGUAGUGGUGUCAUCAUAAGACGACUUGUUGUAACCACUUCCAUAGCCAUCAG